GACGAACGCUGGCGGCGUGCUUAACACAUGCAAGUCGAACGGUAAGGCCCUUCGGGGUACACGAGUGGCGAACGGGUGAGUAACACGUGGGUGAUCUGCCCUGCACUUCGGGAUAAGCCUGGGAAACUGGGUCUAAUACCGGAUAGGACCACUGCCUGCAUGGGUGGUGGUGGAAAGCUUUUGCGGUGUGGGAUGGGCCCGCGGCCUAUCAGCUUGUUGGUGGGGUGAUGGCCUACCAAGGCGACGACGGGUAGCCGGCCUGAGAGGGUGACCGACCACACUGGGACUGAGAUACGGCCCAGACUCCUACGGGAGGCAGCAGUGGGGAAUAUUGCACAAUGGGCGCAAGCCUAAUGCAGCGACGCCGCGUGAGGGAUGACGGCCUUCGGGUUGUAAACCUCUUUCAGUAGGGACGAAGCGCAAGUGACGGUGCCUACAGAAGAAGGACCGGCCAACUACGUGCCAGCCGCCGCCGUAA
rnacentral:rRNA from 1 species